AUUGAACGCUGGCGGAAUGCUUUACACAUGCAAGUCGAACGGCAGCACGGGGCAACCUGGUGGCGAGUGGCGAACGGGUGAGUAAUACAUCGGAACGUGCCCAAUCGUGGGGAUAACGUAGCGAAAGUUACGCUAAUACUGCAUACGAUCUACGGAUGAAAGCGGGGGAUCGCAAGACCUCGCGCGAGUGGAGCGGCCGAUGUCAGAUUAGGUAGUUGGUGGGGUAAAGGCUCACCAAGCCAACGAUCUGUAGCUGGUCUGAGAGGACGACCAGCCACACUGGAACUGAGACACGGUCCAGACUCCUACGGGAGGCAGCAGUGGGGAAUUUUGGACAAUGGGCGCAAGCCUGAUCCAGCCAUUCCGCGUGCAGGAUG
rnacentral:rRNA from 1 species